rnacentral:rRNA from 1 species
CCUACGGGAGGCAGCAGUGAGGAAUUUUGGACAAUGGGCGCGAGCCUGAACCAGCCAAGUCGCGUGAGGGAAGACGGUCCUAUGGAUUGUAAACCUCUUUUGUCGGGGAGCAAAAGACGCCACGCGUGGCGUUCCGAGAGUACCCGAAGAAAAAGCAUCGGCUAACUCCGUGCCAGCAGCCGCGGUAAUACGGAGGAUGCGAGCGUUAUCCGGAUUUAUUGGGAUAAAAGGGUGUGCAGGCGGAAGAUCAAGUCAGCGGUAAAAUUGAGAGGCACAACCUCUUCGAGCCGUUGAAACUGGUUUGCUUGAGUGAGCUAGAAGUAUGCGGAAUGAGUGGUGUAGCGGUGAAAUGCAUAGAUAUCACGCAGAACUCCGAUUGCGAAGGCAGCAUACCGGCGCUCAACUGACGCUCAUGCACGAAAGUGUGGGUAUCGAACAGGAUUAGAUACCCUUGUAGUC